AACGAACGCUGGCGGCAUGCCUAACACAUGCCAGUCGAACGAGACCUUCGGGUCUAGUGGCGCACGGGUGCGUAACGCGUGGGAACCUGCCCUUAGGUUCGGAAUAACUCCCCGAAAGGGGUGCUAAUACCGGAUAAUGUCUUCGGAUCAAAGAUUUAUCGCCUUUGGAUGGGCCCGCGUUGGAUUAGCUAGUUGGUAGGGUAAAAGCCUACCAAGGCGACGAUCCAUAGCUGGUCUGAGAGGAUGAUCAGCCACACUGGGACUGAGACACGGCCCAGACUCCUACGGGAGGCAGCAGUGGGGAAUAUUGGACAAUGGGCGAAAGCCUGAUCCAGCAAUGCCGCGUGAGUGAUGAAGGCCUUAGGGUUGUAAAGCUCUUUUACCCGGGAUGAUAAUGACAGUACCGGGAGAAUAAGCUCCGGCUAACUCCGUG
rnacentral:rRNA from 1 species